CUGAGGAAUUCUACUGCAGCCAAUGAGGGGCUUUCCUCCGCCCCGUGUCUUCACCCCUCCCCACCUCCCCCGCUCUAUCAGUAUAAGUGGCUGCCAUUGAAAUGAGCACCGGUCGCUAUGCCGGUCACUUAAAAAGGAAGUCACCGGUGAGACCACGAUGGAUCAAACGUGAGCCGCCUCUCCUCUUUAGACCCGUCUGUUUGGAUUUCUCGCCCCUCUGGGCUUGAGGGAUAACUCUGAGAAGGUUCCGGACGUCAACCGGUGGCAAACCGGAGCAAAUAUUUUGCCUCCUGCCCUGACAGGCACCAGGAAAAGACGUCCCUUCAACUCUCCGUCUCCCUCGCUCUCCAGUUCCCAACUCAAACAGGGCCUAGUUGACUUUGUUCAUCGAACCAAAAUUCAGCACUGAGAUGUCUGACUGCUGAAACCUGUCGACUCCCUCGUGAAGCGCAACCUUGGCUUUCCUUGGCCCCCGAGCAAAUGUCUUUAAGACUUCAGGCUGAAGAAAAUGGUCACAUUCAUAAGCGUGUUGGUUUCACAUACUCCCACGAGCUCUCCGACAAGAAACUCUCCGACAAGAGCUCUCCGGGGGCUUCUGGCUCGGUGCCGUUUUACAGCAGAUAUGAUAUAAAUCAUUUAAGCUCCACUUGGCUCAGCCAUCUACACGUAGACCUGUGGCUUUCUCUCCGGAACGGGUUUAGGAGGAUAGGGAGAAGGGGUGACACGCAAACGCCUCGGGCUCCUUCAAGGACAAAAUGGCGAUUCUUCAAGGCUGACCCUGAAUGUCGCUUGGAGACUGGCUUUGUCCAGCUCCGAAGAAAGAGCCCCAACUACAGCAUCGUCCCUACCGGACACUGGGACCACUAUUCAGGCCCCUGGAAAUUUAUUCAUUUUCCAUGGGAUCUGCAAAUCCAUCAACUGGAUUUUUAACUCAGUGAAGCGUAACUGCUUCUGUCAGGCCUGAUGGCAUAUGAUCUACGCUACACAGGUGCAUUAUAUAAAUCUUUAAGAACAUAAUCUCUGCAUGUGGCUAGAGUAAGCACUUUUAACCAAAAAGCCCAAUUUCUCAUGCAUUUCCAUUUAAAAAAAAAAAUAAAACUGCAAAAUCAAUUCAUCAGCUGGAUAACCCAACUGCUUGCCAAGUGCCAUUUAUUUUAAACUGAGGUAGUCUUCAGUUCCACGACUACAUAAAACACAUCCAGAGCAAGAAACACUCAUUUUUUUUACAGCCUGCGUAUCUUACAGACGUCUGGAACCGUGCACCGCAGAGAUAACAGAAUUCAGGGACGGCAUUAAGGUCUGCGUCGCCGAUGAAAAUCUCCGACUGUGCUAAAGGAUCUCUGGGAGGAGGCUGGUACAUAAUUCACGGUUUUCUUCACGUGUAUUGUCACGCAACGGCACUGGGCCGACUGCAGGGCUUCCUGUUUGCCCAUUUCUCGUGGAUGUACCUCAAAGACGGUCUCCAGGC